UCCUACGGGGCGCAGCAGUGAGGAAUAUUGGUCAAUGGGCGGAAGCCUGAACCAGCCAAGUCGCGUGAGGGAAGAAGGCCCUGCGGGUCGCAGACCUCUUUGGACGGGGAGCAAGGCCGCCGACGUGUCGGCGGAAGGAGAGUACCCGUAGAACAAGCAUCGGCUAACUCCGUGCCAGCAGCCGCGGUAAUACGGAGGAUGCGAGCGUUAUCCGGAUUUAUUGGGCGUAAAGGGAACGCAGGCGGUCUUUUAAGUCUGAUGUGAAAGCCUUCGGCUUAACCGGAGUAGGGCCUUGGAACCUGGGG
rnacentral:rRNA from 1 species